rnacentral:rRNA from 1 species
UGCAGUCGAGCGGACAGAAGGGAGCUUGCUCCCGGAUGUUAGCGGCGGACGGGUGAGUAACACGUGGGUAACCUGCCUGUAAGACUGGGAUAACUCCGGGAAACCGGAGCUAAUACCGGAUAGUUCCUUGAACCGCAUGGUUCAAGGAUGAAAGACGGUUUCGGCUGUCACUUACAGAUGGACCCGCGGCGCAUUAGCUAGUUGGUGGGGUAAUGGCUCACCAAGGCGACGAUGCGUAGCCGACCUGAGAGGGUGAUCGGCCACACUGGGACUGAGACACGGCCCAGACUCCUACGGGAGGCAGCAGUAGGGAAUCUUCCGCAAUGGACGAAAGUCUGACGGAGCAACGCCGCGUGAGUGAUGAAGGUUUUCGGAUCGUAAAGCUCUGUUGUUAGGGAAGAACAAGUGCGAGAGUAACUGCUCGCACCUUGACGGUACCUAACCAGAAAGCCACGGCUAACUACGUGCCAGCAGCCGCGGUAAUACGUAGGUGGCAAGCGUUGUCCGGAAUUAUUGGGCGUAAAGGGCUCGCAGGCGGUUUCUUAAGUCUGAUGUGAAAGCCCCCGGCUCAACCGGGGAGGGUCAUUGGAAACUGGGAAACUUGAGUGCAGAAGAGGAGAGUGGAAUUCCACGUGUAGCGGUGAGAUGCGUAGAGAUGUGGAGGAACACCAGUGGCGAAUGCGACUCUCUGGUCUGUAACUGACGCUUAAGGAGCGAAAAGCGUGGGGAGCGAACAGGAUUAGAUACCCUGGUAGUCCACGCCGUAAACGAUGAGUGCUAAGUGUUUA